GCGUGGGACACCCUUCCCCACCGAAGGGCAACUAUCUGAAAGGGUAGAGAUA
rfam:Alpha proteobacterium IMCC14465 IMCC14465_3, whole genome shotgun sequence.